AAUGUACUCCCUCCGUCUGAAAAUACUUGUCAUCGAAAUGGAUAAAAAGAGAUGUAUCUAGAACUAAAAUACGUCUAGAUGCAUCCCCUUUUAUUCAUUUUGAUGACAAGUAUUUCCGGACGGAGGGAGUACCAC
rnacentral:pre_miRNA from 1 species